AUAUGGCGUACGAAAGUUCGUAGCUGUCAUUAAUUUUAUUUCAAAGCUUCAACAAAUUAUAGCGAGAUGAAUGUAUGAUCGAUUAGAUGUUGAAUCGACGGAGUACGAUAAUUAAAGAGGAAGAUUUCAGUCGCCUUCGCAUCCAUAACAGCUCGGAAGAUUGGGGUGUUACACUCUUGCAUGUACGAGGAGUUGCUGACCACUACACCACCGAGGAAACAAUCUGUGUGGGAUUGUUAUGGGGUCCAGACAACUGGCCCUUCGAGGGGGGGGGGAAUCUGAAGGAUAGGAGGUUACCGUUCGGGAGGUAGUCAUCAUCGUCGGUUCUUGGAAUUCCCUCACAAAGCUUGUGGAUAUCAAGAUGAAACGUCAGCACGACCGGAUUUAACUGAUUAUGCGUUCAUGUGUAUCAAGCAAAAAACUGUUAUGGAUAGCCAUUUGGUCCGUCAGGUUUGGGUCACGUGUCGAUAAUUGUCUGUUAGGUUCUGAAUGUGGAAGUAGGAUUUAAGGUUGGGUGUAGAGUGCCCUCGGUUUAAUGGUAUAUGUUUGUUCUACCUGUGUAUGAUUGACGACCACCGAGUGUGUUGUGGAUGCGAAAGUGUUUGCUGCAUCGUGAAAAUUUCUGUCCACCAAUUUAUUAUGAUGACUUCAAUUUAUGUUGAUCUCCUACUACGGAAUGCUUGGUUCCACUUGCAGAUGACGAAGUUGGUUCAGUCUGUAAAUAAUAAAUAACAAAGCAGAAUAUGUUCUUUUUUUUUUUUUGUUGAAAGAUCUUAUAAAGAAAAAAUUCUUUGGAAUGUUUUCAGACUCGCUAUAAAUAAUAAAUUAAUUUGUUUGAAA